rnacentral:lncRNA from 1 species
UUGACUUCGAGGCUAACGCUUUGGCUGAAGAGAAACGCAAAAACGAUUUGGAAACUGCUGCAAAGGCCUCUGAACAGACUUCAGAUGUUAAAGAAAAGAAACUUCGUGUCGUUAGAAAGGAUGCAAAGACAAGAGCAGCAAGUAGACCUGACCCUGCUUUGAAAGCUAAGAGAGCUCCCUGGGGAAGUAGAGCAGCUGCCACCAAAACCAAAUCCGAGCUGGUAAAUUUCGCUUAACUAACAGCGUUUCAUUUUUCUUGAUUAGUUUCACUCUGGUUCUAUAAAUUGGUACGAAACAAUUUUCUUAAAAUUUAAUUAAUACUAAUCAAAUCGGUUUAAACCAUUUUAAUCGGUUUAAACCAUUUUAAAUCAUUCUAAAUUGGUUUAAACUAUUUUAAAUUGGUUUUAGUAGAACUAAAUUAGUCUAAAUAUGUUAAAUUAAACAAUAAUGUUAGUAUAAAUCCACAAUUUUGUCUUUUUUGUUUUGUUUUGUAUAUAUACUUAUGAUAAUUCAUCAAAAUAAUUUUAUAAUAAAACCAAAAACUAAAAUAUCGUAUAUAAAUGUGAAAUAUAUAUAAAAUAAAUUAAUAAUUCAUCAACGCCUAGAGUUCUGAAUUAAUAAAAUGCUUCUAGUUACAGCCUAACGAUUAACAUUGGUUUCACUUUUUCUCACUUGGAUUUGGUAUUUUGAUAGGAGGAAGAGAGGAAGAAGAGAAUGGAAGAACUUUUAAUUCAGAGGCAAAAGAGAAUCGCUGCGAAGAGUUCUGGCAGUAAUGUAUCAAGUCCCUUGGCCUCCAAGAAAACUCCUACUGGAACCAAAACCGUGAAGACCUCGAAUGACAAGACACCAGCAGAAGCCGUGAAGGCUAAGCCGUUACUGAGAAGUUCCACCAUUGAGCGCCUUGCUGUUGCCAGGACAGCACCAAAGGAGCCACAACAAAAACCAGUAACCAAAAGAACAUCAAAACCUCUAGGAAACAAGACAGAGAAACCUCAAGACAAGAAACCUAGUAGAAAAAGUCCGGGACUUUCUCGUGACCCGAGUCUCGAAAUCAAGGAAACAGUGGAGGAAGAAUCACAGUCUUACUUGCCGGUGAAGCAAGUUGAUGAACUUCCUCCUGCUGCUUCUUCUGUUGAUGACUUCAAAGACAUUAAAGAGAUGCAUAGCUUGCCGAAUGAAACAAUCACCAAUCAUCAGAAAGUAGAAGAUCAGAGGAAGAUUGAUGAUGAGGAGAUAGUGAAGAAGACAUCCGUCUGCGAAGACAAGCAAGUCACUAACAACCUUUGUUCGGAGGAUGUUGAAGAAGUUAAGGCUUCACCGCCAAAACCACUGUCUCCAAAGAAGUCGGUGACGUUUUCAGAGACAAACAUGGAGGAGAAGUAUUUCUUCUCACCAACGGUGUCGGAGACUGACGUCUCGACGCCGCCGGCUACUGAAGGCUCUGAGUUCUUGAUUAAUGUUUCAGUUGGUUAUUGACUCUGUUUGUAUUUGUAUAGGCACAAGGUGAAUCUGAUGGCCAAGAAAAUUCUAAGUAAGUUUUAGCAUAGCCUUCCUUUGUUGUUAUUGUCUUGAUCGGUUUUGUGAAGUAGAUGACAAGCGGUGAAAUGAAUGUAACAGGGUUGGUCUUCAGCGUGUUCUUGAAACCCGCAAAGCGGCUUUGUGCAAAGAGCAAGCCAUGGCUUACGCUAGAGCUUUGGUUGUUGGGUUUGAAUUGGACUACAUGGACGAUCUCUUGUCCUUCGCAGAUGCUUUUGGAGCUUCGCGUUUAAGGUUAGUAACUGAAACCAUCCAUGUCCUUGUGUGCAUUUGUAUGAAGAUGGUGAAUAAAUCACUUUUGUGUUGCGUUCAGGGAAGCAUGUGUUAACUUUGUGGACUUGUGCAAGAGAAAGAACGAAGAUAGGAUGUGGGUGGACCAAAUCACGGCAAUGCAAGCCUUUCCCAGGCCUGAGCUAUCCUUCAUGGGUGACUCUGGGAUCAUACUCGCUGGGGAAGAGAAUGAUAUCGUCAAACAAGGGAACAACAUGGAUGCAAUGAGCCAGGGUAGCUUUGAGACUAGCCAAGGUCCUCCUCAGAUGUCAAUCCCCUGGCCAAACCAUUAUCCUCCUCAGUACAUGCAAGGACAUGGCUAUCCUCCUUAUAUGUAUCCCGGCCAGCCACAGUACUUCCCUCAGUGGCCUGUCAACAUGGGAGGAGAUGUGGAGUCAAGUGAGAAGACUUCCAAGAAGAAAAAGAAGAAGAAGAAAAACAAGAAGAAGAAGUAUGAAUCUUCCGAGGAGCAAAGCGAUGAGUCCAGCGCCGAGACUGUAUCAGAGGAGGGGAAUGAAGGGAAGAAAUCAUCUAGAAAAGUUGUUAUACGCAACAUAAACUACAUAACUUCAAAGAGAAACGGAGCCAAGGAUAGCGAUUCUGAUGAGUCUGUAGACGAAGAAGAAGAAGGCUUUGUGGAUGGAGACUCCAUCAAGCAGCAAGUGGAGGAAGCUAUUGGCUCGCUGGAGAAACGGCAUAAAUCGACUUCACGCCGUAGCAGGAGGAAGCACAAAAGUCAUAGUGAAGAUGAGGAGGACUCAGGUAGUAAAGAAACUAAAGGGAAUGAUAACUGGGAUGCCUUCCAAAACCUUCUUUUAAAAGACAAAGAUUCAGACCAGGAAACAGCUUCGUGUCCGUUGAACAUGGAGUCAGAAGUUGUGAGCAAGAGAGAGCUGCCUUCGGAUGAUUCUUUCUUGGUUGCAAAUGGGAAUGAGGAUUGGGGGAGGGAGAGCAGUAUUAAGAAACUUGAUGCCGGUGAGAAUGUUAGGCUGAUGAGAAGAGAGAACAACUAUGACGAUGAUAUGAUGAUGAAUCCUGGUAGAGGAGAUGAAUCAAGAAGCUACUCACAGGCAGAGAUGUCUGUUUAUAGUGGGAAGCUCCGAGCUAGAAAUGAGACGGAGGAAGACUGGUUCAUACGUAACCAAGCAGACACUGAAAGAGAUGUCAAAACCUUUGUAGGAGACGAUUUGCAUGUAACAAAGAGAAGUGGGAGAGAUGUCCUGACUGAUGACUCGUUCAUGAUCCAUUCUCGUGUUGAGAGCCAAGUGGAAGAGUCUCGGUUAAGGACAGAGAUCAUGGACUCUGACGUUUAUGGAACCACCAAACAAGAAAACUCCUCUGCACCGGAGGAGAUUAACAACAGACAAGAGCCGGAUGAUCUUUUCAUGGUUCUUGGACGUGAACAAGAUGUUACACCUGCGAUGGUGUCGUGGACCCCUGAGAUUGACUUCGAGGCUAACGCUUUGGCUGAAGAGAAACGCAAAAACGAUUUGGAAACUGCUGCAAAGGCCUCUGAACAGACUUCAGAUGUUAAAGAAAAGAAACUUCGUGUCGUUAGAAAGGAUGCAAAGACAAGAGCAGCAAGUAGACCUGACCCUGCUUUGAAAGCUAAGAGAGCUCCCUGGGGAAGUAGAGCAGCUGCCACCAAAACCAAAUCCGAGCUGGUAAAUUUCGCUUAACUAACAGCGUUUCAUUUUUCUUGAUUAGUUUCACUCUGGUUCUAUAAAUUGGUACGAAACAAUUUUCUUAAAAUUUAAUUAAUACUAAUCAAAUC